rnacentral:rRNA from 1 species
AUGACAAGGGAGUGCAUCCAAAAGAUAGGUGGCAAGCAUGACUGUUGCGGUGUGUUGAUAACUGAAUUGAAGGAUCUUCAGUAUAUGAACCACAAAAGAGAGGUGCAUCCCGUACAAACAAAGAAGUGCAUGCAGUACAUCGGCUCAAGAUCCAAUGGUUCAAUUAUCUUUUGGUUUGGCAAAAUGCUUCUCUUGCAGGUUUUUUGUUUUGCUGUAAUUUUCAUUUAUAUCACAGGAUGUAACACCAUCUCCGAAACAAAUGCAUAUGUUCAGUUAAGAACUUGGCGUGGUGGGUGUACUGUUGAUAAUAUGAACUUGUUUCUCUCAACUAUAGAAAACAUGUAA